rnacentral:rRNA from 1 species
ACGCUGGCGGCAGGCCUAACACAUGCAAGUCGAGCGGUAGCACGGGAGAGCUUGCUCUCUGGGUGACGAGCGGCGGACGGGUGAGUAAUGUCUGGGAAACUGCCUGAUGGAGGGGGAUAACUACUGGAAACGGUAGCUAAUACCGCAUGACCUCGCAAGAGCAAAGUGGGGGACCUUCGGGCCUCACGCCAUCGGAUGUGCCCAGAUGGGAUUAGCUAGUAGGUGGGGUAAUGGCCCACCUAGGCGACGAUCCCUAGCUGGUCUGAGAGGAUGACCAGCCGCACUGGAACUGAGACACGGUCCAGACUCCUACGGGAGGCAGCAGUGGGGAAUAUUGCACAAUGGGCGCAAGCCUGAUGCAGCCAUGCCGCGUGUGUGAAGAAGGCCUUAGGGUUGUAAAGCACUUUCAGCGAGGAGGAAGGCGUUGUAGUUAAUAGCUGCAGCGAUUGACGUUACUCGCAGAAGAAGCACCGGCUAACUCCGUGCCAGCAGCCGCGGUAAUACGGAGGGUGCAAGCGUUAAUCGGAAUUACUGGGCGUAAAGCGCACGCAGGCGGUUUGUUAAGUCAGAUGUGAAAUCCCCGAGCUUAACUUGGGAACUGCAUUUGAAACUGGCAAGCUAGAGUCUUGUAGAGGGGGGUAGAAUUCCAGGUGUAGCGGUGAAAUGCGUAGAGAUCUGGAGGAAUACCGGUGGCGAAGGCGGCCCCCUGGACAAAGACUGACGCUCAGGUGCGAAAGCGUGGGGAGCAAAC